GUGCCAGCCGCCGCGGUAAGACGAACCGUGCGAACGUUAUUCGGAAUCACUGGUCUUAAAGGGCGCGUAGGCGGUCUGCCAAGUCAGGGGUGAAAUCUUUCGGCUUAACCGGAAAAGUGCCUUUGAUACUGGCGGACUUGAGGGAGGUAGGGGCAGAUGGAACUGGUGGUGGAGCGGUGAAAUGUGUAGAUAUCACUAGGAACGCCGGUGGCGAAAGCGAUCUGCUGGACCUCUACUGACGCUGAGGAGCGAAAGCCAGGGGAGCAAACGGGAUUAGAUACCCUGGUAGUCC
rnacentral:rRNA from 1 species